AAACAAACUACACUUAAAUUUGUCAAAGAUUAAUUUAUUAACAUUUUCUUCAUUCUGUUAGUGUAAGUGCUUCUCAAAUAGCGUAGAUUUAUUCUCACUAUAUAGUUUUCUUUACAAUUCUCCAUUGCAAGAUAUACGAUUAGGAAACGAGCAUCUGCCAAAAUUUUUAACAAUAAAAAAAAAAACACAACAAACUUUUCUUGUUCAAACUUGCUUGUGGAGAAUUAUGAAUUCUGGUCAAAGAAAAAAACGUGAAAAGAGGUGGGGGGGG